UGCCAGACUCCUACGGGAGGCAGCAGUGGGGGAUAUUGCACAAUGGGGGAAACCCUGAUGCAGCGACGCCGCGUGAGCGAUGAAGUAUUUCGGUAUGUAAAGCUCUAUCAGCAGGGAAGAAGAUGACGGUACCUGACUAAGAAGCCCCGGCUAACUACGUGCCAGCAGCCGCGGUAAUACGUAGGGGGCAAGCGUUAUCCGGAUUUACUGGGUGUAAAGGGAGCGUAGACGGCGAUGCAAGCCAGAUGUGAAAGUCCGGGGCUCAACCCCGGGACUGCAUUUGGAACUGUGUGGCUGGAGUGUCGGAGAGGCAGGCGGAAUUCCUAGUGUAGCGGUGAAAUGCGUAGAUAUCAGGAGGAACACCGGCGGCGAAGGCGGCCUGCUGGACCGUGACUGACGUUGAGGCUCGAGAGCGUGGGGAGCAAACAGGAUUAGAUACCCUAGUA
rnacentral:rRNA from 1 species